CCGAAAUAUGUUUUGUGACU
rnacentral:miRNA from 1 species